UACCAGCUCUCCGAGUGGUAGGGAUGAUUAUUGGGCUUAAAGCGUCCGUAGCUGGCUUAGCAAGUCUCCUGUUAAAUUCAGCGACCUAAUCGUUGAGCCGCGGGAGAUACUACUAGGCUAGGAGGCGGGAGAGGUCGACGGUACUUUCGGGGUAGGGGUGAAAUCCUAUAAUCCCGGGAGGACCACCAGUGGCGAAGGCUGUCGACUAGAACGCGCUCGACGGUGAGGGACGAAAGCUGGGGGAGCGAACCGGAUUAGAUACCCGGGUAGUCCCAGCUGUAAACUAUGCGGGCUAGGUGUUGGGGUGGCUACGGGCCACUUCAGUGCCGCAGGAAAGCCAUUAAGCCCGCCGCCUGGGGAGUACGGCCGCAAGGCUGAAACUUAAAGGAAUUGGCGGGGGAGCACCACAAGGCGUGAAGCUUGCGGUUC
rnacentral:rRNA from 1 species